rfam:Acinetobacter towneri strain 5-2Ac02 Scaffolds7.1_new, whole genome shotgun sequence.
UAACUGAAGAGUUUGAUCAUGGCUCAGAUUGAACGCUGGCGGCAGGCUUAACACAUGCAAGUCGAGCGGGCGAGGUUGCUUCGGUAACUGAGCUAGCGGCGGACGGGUGAGUAAAGCUUAGGAAUCUGCCUAUUAGUGGGGGACAACAUUCCGAAAGGGAUGCUAAUACCGCAUACGUCCUACGGGAGA